rnacentral:misc_RNA from 1 species
GAUGAAGAACGCAGCGAAAUGCGAUAAGUAAUGUGAAUUGCAGAAUUCAGUGAAUCAUCGAAUCUUUGAUCGCACAUUGCGCCCGCCAGCAUUCUGGCGGGCAUGCCUGUUCGAGCGUCAUUUCAACCCUCAAGCUCUGCUUGGUGUUGGGGCCCUACGGUUGACGUAGGCCCUUAAAGGUAGUGGCGGACCCUCUCGGAGCCUCCUUUGCGUAGUAACUAACGUCUCGCACUGGGAUUCGGAGGGACUCUUGCCGUAAAACCCCCAAAUUUUUAAAGGUUGACCUCGGAUCAGGUAGGAAUACCCGCUGAACUUAAGCAUAUCAAUAAGCGGAGGA